rnacentral:ncRNA from 2 species
GAUAAUCCAAGUCGUCGAGGUUCUCCGGUUCCCAUUGAUCCGGAGCUAAGAGGGAAGCCGGUGCAAAUGCCGGCUCUGCCCCCGCAACUGUGAGCGGCGAGCCGCUGUCCGACGAUGUCGCUGAAGCCUGCACGGCUUCGGGAAGGCCGGACAGCAGCGAUGACCAGCAAGCCAGGAGACCGGCCCCGACAAUAUAUUGGUC